GUACAGGGCAUAUAAUGUAUACUGUAGUCAUCUAUAGUGCUAUUCGUUUUAGCACGGUAAUCUAUAGCGCCAUCACGCUGUUGUUCUUGGCAAGAUUAAAUUACAUGGUAGAUGGUAAUGCUAUAGGUGAUGGCACUGUAGAUGGGGGUGCUAUAGGUGAUGGCACUGUAGAUGAGGGUCCUUUAGGUGAGGGCAUCAUAGCGGAGGGCAGCACCAGGAACCAAAAGGAUGAAACAAGUGUAACCUGCUGUAAAUGUAACGCAGCCACAGCUGUGGACAUGUUCGAGUGUAUCAGCUAAACUAAAUAACAAGAGUCUGUGAGAAGAAAAGCUAAGAAGUGUGAGGGGUUAAUGUCUGACAACCCUGUGUGAUCUGGGGUAUCCCAGGGUAUUAUAUUGC